GUAAGGAAUAUUGCACAAUGGGCGAAAGCCUGAUGCAGCAACGCCGCGUGCGCGAUGAAGGCCUUCGGGUCGUAAAGCGCUUUUAGGGAGGAUGAGGAAGGACAGUACUCCCAGAAUAAGGUACGGCUAACUACGUGCCAGCAGCCGCGGUAAAACGUAGGUACCGAGCGUUAUCCGGAUUCACUGGGCGUAAAGCGCGUGCAGGUGGUUUGGUAAGUCGGGCAUGAAAACUCUUGGCUCAACUGAGAGAAGCUGUCCGAUACUGCCAGACUUGAGGGUGUGAGAGGGAGGUGGAAUUCCGCGUGUAGUGGUGAAAUGCGUAGAUAUGCGGAGGAACACCAGUGGCGAAGGCGGCCUCCUGGCACACUCCUGACACUCAGACGCGAAAGCUAGGGGAGCGAACGGGAUUAGAUACCCGGGUAGUCC
rnacentral:rRNA from 1 species